rnacentral:rRNA from 1 species
CCUACGGGGCGCAGCAGUAGGGAAUUUUCGUCAAUGGGCGCAAGCCUGAACGAGCAAUGCCGCGUGAACGAGGAAGGUCUUCGGAUCGUAAAGUUCUGUUGAAGGGGAAAAAGAGUGGAGAGAGGAAAUGGUCUCCGAUUGAUAUUACCCUUCGAGGAAGUCACGACUAACUACGUGCCAGCAGCCGCGGUAAUACGUAGGUGGCGAGCGUUAUCCGGAAUGAUUGGGCGUAAAGGGUGCGUAGGCGGCCUGCUAAGUCUGGAGUGAAAGGUACCGGCUCAACCGGGAUAGGCUCUGGAAACUGGCGGGCUAGAGAGCAGGAGAGGGCGGUGGAACUCCAUGUGUAGCGGUAAAAUGCGUAGAUAUAUGGAAGAACACCAGUGGCGAAGGCGGCCGCCUGGCCUGUUACUGACGCUGAGGCACGAAAGCGUGGGGAGCAAAUAGGAUUAGAUACCCGGGUAGUC